GGGAGGCCGGGGUUUGGACCCACUUCGGGUUGUAGACGCGUGUCACCCGUGCGGUAGUCACGUUCUGAGUUUACAAACAGGAAACGGGGUGAUAAAGAGUAAUGCUGUAUAGAAAAAAUUUGGAAACAAAAUUUAUGGUUGUGCAUCAAG